rnacentral:rRNA from 4 species
UCCUCCAAGGCUAAAUACUCCUGACUGACCGAUAGUGAACCAGUACCGUGAGGGAAAGGCGAAAAGAACCCCGGCGAGGGGAGUGAAAAAGAACCUGAAACCGUGUACGUACAAGCAGUGGGAGCACAGGUUUACCUGUGUGACUGCGUACCUUUUGUAUAAUGGGUCAGCGACUUAUAUUCUGUAGCAAGGUUAACCGAAUAGGGGAGCCGGAGGGAAACCGAGUCUUAAUUGGGCGUUAAGUUGCAGGGUAUAGACCCGAAA